CAGUAGCCGCGGUAAUACGUAGGUGGCAAGCGUUGUCCGGAAUUAUUGGGCGUAAAGGGCUCGCAGGCGGUUUCUUAAGUCUGAUGUGAAAGCCCCCGGCUCAACCGGGGAGGGUCAUUGGAAACUGGGAAACUUGAGUGCAGAAGAGGAGAGUGGAAUUCCACGUGUAGCGGGAAAUGCGUAGAGAUGUGGAGGAACACCAGUGGCGAAGGCGACUCUCUGGUCUGUAACUGACGCUGAGGAGCGAAAGCGUGGGGAGCGAACAGGAUUAGAUACCCCCGUAGUCCCUGUCUCUUAUACA
rnacentral:rRNA from 1 species